GGUACCAUGUGGAAGAGGAGGAGGGAGACUGACUGGCGGACAAUGGAGCCUGUGUGUGUUUAUGGGAAGGGAGCGAAUUCACCCUCGCCGGGGAGAGUCACAGCGCCGCCCCCUCCUGCCCGGGGGUGAGGGGUGCCCCCUGGCCGGGCCAGGCCAGGCCACCUCCGCCCUUGUUCAGGAGAGCAGUGAGUGUGAGAAGGAGAAGCAGAGGAGGCUCUGCAUGGUGCCAGCUCCCCUGGAAACUGCGGGCCAUGGGAGAUUACUGAAUUCUGGAGUUUGUCAGAUGAACUAUCCAAAGAAAUCCAGAACUGAUGCUGUAACUUGUCUAAUACUCUGAUCAUGAGAAUCUUUAUAUAUAUGCAGAGGGAUUCUGAACCCUUCUCCUGGUUGAUCAGCAUAAUGUCGUGACACUGGAGUUUUGUGUCACUUCAGCCCAGUGUCUACGAAUCCGGCAGAAUACAACAACAACAAUUAUAUUGUAGGGACUUAGUUUUAUAGGUAGGAAAACUGUUUAUUUCAUUAAAUAACGGGGGGAAUGGGAAGUGCUGCCCUAUAUUAUGUUUUGGUUAGCAUUUCUAAUGUCACUGUUGUCUGUAUCAUUAUCUUUAUAACCUGCUUUGGUUUUUGAUUGUCUUGUAUCCUGAAUCAUAACCAAUUCCAGUGGCAAUGUAAUCAAGCAUAUUAUAAAUGGGGGCAGAGCAUAUCUAGUAUAAAAACUUUAUAUGCCCAUUUUGUCUAGAUAGUCUUAUACUUUGAAUUCUAAAUAAUCCUUACUAGUCUAAUUAGUUGUAGGAGAAAGACUUGCAGAGCCAGAGAGAAAAGUGAAAAGAGGGCUUAGUUUAGAUUUGUUACCUAGCCACAAGCAAAUUAAGAACCUUGAAUGCCAUUGAUCCUUAUCUAACUCUAACCAGGGGCUGAUCAUUAAUUGGGAAGAUUCCUCAGCAUAGACUUUUAGAAUUAAAUCAGUUAAUUUGAACCUUCACAUGUGAACUUGGUUGUUCAUGGCUUACAUUGGUGGAUGUUAAUGUAUUUUGCCAAAUAUAUUGAAUGAAAGAGAUGUCAGCGUAUACCUGGCC